AUGGGAGGUAGUGAGAUGUGGGAGUCACCAAAAUACAUCAGAGACCUCCUGACUCAUGUAACACUGCAUGACAUAAACAAGGCACAGGUGACUGUUACCUGUCUCCUGGUCGGCUCUCGUCUUAAUGAUUUCUCUGUCACCUGGAAAGUAGGUGGUAAUAAAAACUUCCCCCAUAAAGUCCAUACAGAGUCACCGGUGAGUCACAGCAAUGGAACAGAGACUUUGCAGAGCUUCCUCAACGUGUCAGCAGAGGACUGGCAUGCAUAUAAACAAGUUUCUUGUGAAGGAAAGCAUCAAUGUGCCAACCAGGGCUAUGAAGACCAUAUCAGCAAAAGCAGAGACAUGUUUCCGCCAACAGUGAAAAUAGUGCAACCAACUGCAUCUGAGCUGUCCAUGUCUGACGUCCUCACACUGGUUUGCCUGGUUUCUGGAUUUUUCCCAUCUAACAUCAUAGUGUAUUGGGUGGAGGAUGGUCAGAAACUCCCGUCGUCUCGUUACAUCAACAGUCCUGCCUGGAAACACACAGAGAGCAACUCUUAUUCAAUGAGCAGCCGACUGAAUGUACCCAGAAGUGUGGACAAAAGGUCGACGUAUUCUUGUGUUGUCAGACAUGAGUCAUCUGAAUCAGCGUUUGAAAGCACUAUAGAUGAUGUGUUUGCCUCAGUGACCUACAGCGAACCUUCAGCCUUUUUGCUCCAGGGCUCCAAUGAACUCGUGUGCCUGGUCUCUGGCUUCAGCCCAGCGUCCAUUAACAUCACCUGGUUACGUGAUAAUAACACAGAGCUGUGGAACUAUGACACCAGCGAGCCCCACAGAGGCCCAGAUGGAAAGUUCAGCGUCCAAAGCCACCUUCGUCUGUCCCAAGUCGACUCCUUACCUGGAGUGGUUCUCACCUGCAGGGUGACACAUGGAAACACCAGCCUGUCCCUGAAUAUAUCCAAACCAGACACAUUGGAACACUGUGAUUUCUUAGAUGACGUCCUGCGUGGUGAUAUAUACGACGGUACUGGUGUGGAAAGCUGGUAUAUGGCUUUUAUUUUCAGUCUUUUAUUCCUCCUCUCCAUCAUCUAUGGUGUCAUAGCAACCAUAAUUAAGACAAAAUGAUGAUGACCACAGGAAAGAUCCCAUUUUACGACCCAAAUACUGGCUUUUAAUGAUUUUUUUAAAAGCAUAAUGACUUGCAUUAUUAUGUUUUAUCUUACAGGUUUAUAAUAUCCAUUUCUUUUGG